rnacentral:rRNA from 1 species
ACGCUCGACACCUACGGGAGGCNGCAGUGGGGAAUAUUGCGCAAUGGGGGGAACCCUGACGCAGCAACGCCGCGUGAAGGAAGAAGGUUUUCGGAUUGUAAACUUCAGCAAGCAGGGAAGAAAGAAAUGACGGUACCUGAACAAAAGCCACGGCUAACUACGUGCCGGCAGCCGCGGUAAUCUGAGCGGGCUGGCAAGGC